rnacentral:rRNA from 1 species
AAAUUGAAGAGUUUGAUCAUGGCUCAGAUUGAACGCUGGCGGCAGGCCUAACACAUGCAAGUCGAACGGUAACAGGAAGCAGCUUGCUGCUUUGCUGACGAGUGGCGGACGGGUGAGUAAUGUCUGGGAAACUGCCUGAUGGAGGGGGAUAACUACUGGAAACGGUGGCUAAUACCGCAUAACGUCGCAAGACCAAAGAGGGGGACCUUCGGGCCUCUUGCCAUCAGAUGUGCCCAGAUGGGAUUAGCUGGUUGGUGAGGUAACGGCUCACCAAGGCGACGAUCCCUAGCUGGUCUG